AGGAGGAACAACCCCAGUGGCGGGGCCAGCUCGGGAGCCCUGGAUUCAGCCCCCGCAGUAACUACAGAGCUCUGGUUCUGCAGGGCCUGGAGGCUCCGGGCGGGG
rnacentral:pre_miRNA from 1 species